GGCAAGUCUGGUGCCAGCAGCCGCGGUAAUUCCAGCUCCAAUAGCGUAUAUUAAAGUUGUUGCAGUUAAAAGCUCGUAGUUGGACUUUAGGCAAGACGGCCUGGUCGCCCACUGGGUGUACUGGGAUCGUUGCGCCUCACCUUCGGGGAGCCAGUCGUGCUUCGGUGCGCUGGGGAACCGAGCCUUACCUUGAGGAAAUUAGAGUGUUUAAAGCAGGCUUAUGCUUGAAUACGUUAGCAUGGAAUAACAUGAUAGGACUUUGGUUCUAUUUUGUUGGUUUGAGGACCAAAGUAAUGAUUAAUAGGGACAGUUGGGGCAUUAGUAUUCAAUAGUCAGAGGUGAAAUUCUUGGAUUUAUUGAAGACUAACUAAUGCGAAAGCAUUUGCCAAGGAUGUUUUCAUUAAUCAAGAACGAAAGUUAGGGGAUCGAAGACGAUUAGAUACCGU
rnacentral:rRNA from 1 species